AAUGUGGCAUCACAACACACAGGGCACAGCUUUCCUCACAUCAUCCCAUCUAAUCCUCAACACCAACAACCCUGGGAGGAGAUACGGUUAGCUCCAUUUCCUGCCACAGAUGAAGCUCAGAGAGGCAAUGUCAGUUACCUGAAGCCACACAGCUCGAAACCAAGCCCAGUGUGGCCUACCUCCACAGCUGGACACUUGCCAUACAGAUGGCAUGAGGCUGCUUUCUGUAUUCAAUGAAGAUGACACAGUCCCAUAUCCCCCACUGACUGACCCUUCCUCCCCUGAGCAGGCAUGGCUCCCUCUGUCUCUGCCUUGGUCCUCAAUGAUUUAAGUCCCACACUUCCACUGGCCACCUGAGAGCCAACAGCAGUCAGUCACAGCAGGACGGGCCAGCCCUGGGUCUUAAA